CUUCCCAUCUGACUACUGCUUUUUCUCCUAGUAGGAGAAAAUACUGGCUAUGCUUGUGGGAUAGAGUAAAAUUGCCAUGAUCUGCAGAGGCAGGAUUUCUUUGUGUUCUUCUCCUAAUGAAAUGGCUGAACAGAAGAAA